AUGGUUUUGGCCCCAGAUCGACUUGAUGCCACUCCAGAGGUUCUCCCAGCCUCCAACUGCGGAUUCUCAGUUCCUUUCAGAAAACAAGACGCCUCUCAACCAGCAAAAUUGGUCAUUUUCAAUCUCGAUUUCCUUCUUGCCAUUGUACCCCCAACUCAUCGCUGUCUGAAUAGCUCCAUCACACUAGACCAGAGACUUCUCGAGGCCAAGAGCUGUCCGACUUGCCCAGGACACCCUCAUUUGCUUGAAUGAAUAAGCAAACGGCUCCUUCCUCCAGCUGCCCCAGCCACUAAGUUUCACCUUGACCAUGACUGGUGCUUCUCAGACCCAAACAAAGUAGCUACUGCAGGAAAGGAAACCCCUAUAAAAAUGAAAAGAUGUUCAUUGACAUGGGGGAACACCUGUUUGACCUCCCAGUUUUCUGCUGAUUGGAAAAUAUUCCAAUUUUUCCUCAGCAAGUAGAUUUCCCUUCCCACGCCUUCAAUUUCUUUUCUUUUUUCUUUUUUUUUUUUUUGGAGACAGGGUCUCACUCUGUCGCCUAGGCUGGAGUGCAGUGGCCUAAUCUCCGCUCACUGCAACCUCUGCCUUCUGGGUUCAAGCGAUUCUCCUGCUUCAGCCUCCUAAGUAGCUGGGAUUACAGGCGUGCGCCACCACGCCCAGCUAAUUUUUGUAUUUUUUAGUAGAGACUGGGUUUCUCCAUGUCGGCCAGGCUGAUCUCAGGUGAUCUGCCAGCCUCAGCUGCCCAAAGUGCUGGGACUACAGGUGCGAGCCACCUUGACCAGCCCGAUUUCUUUUGUAAUCUGUCCCCAAAAAGGAAACUUACAAAAUCCUCUUAAAAGAAUAUUCUCCACAGCACUGGCAGAUGAAAAAGAAUGUUAUGGAGCUGGGCAUGCCUGAAUCUACAUUCACUCUAUUCUCAGCCAUCUAUAUUUGUCUGUCUGACCAGAUUCCUUUGUAAGUAUUUGUACUUAGGAAAUUUGACUUGCUGCCAUUUGAGGUAUUGUGGAUAAAUGGGCUUUUUAGUUGGCAAAUCCAGAACUUUCCAUCGUCAUUAACACACACUUUGUAAGCUCCUAUUAAGGAGUAAUCUCCUUACUCUACUACGGUCUUGUACAUGAGCAAGGAGAUUACUAAAGUUUUUAAAGUCAGCUAAGAAAAUAAAUCAACAUUUUUGUUUGUCAGUAAGAGGUUGAUGGCAUAUAUAUGUACUGUGUAUAUAUAUGUGUGUGUGCACAUACACAUAUGUAAAUAAAUGACACACAUGGUGAAAGCAAUGUUAUUUGGUUAAGACUAAAGGCAUUGUUGGGAAGGGAGGUGGUGGAAUUAGAUGUUGAUAUAGUAGGUGUUUCAAAUGUCAGAUUUCAAUGGUAAUGGGAAGGAAAAGAAAGAAGAAAAAUGGCUCCUUUAAAAUAUAUCAAUUCAUCAUUUCCCAUUUGCAAACAUUGAAAAAAAAAUGAGAGAAGCUGUAUGUCUUUCCUUGAGAGCUGCCUUUUAGCUCCCAGAGAGAUGGAGUUUGGGCUGAUGUCAGGGUUACUAAGGAAACGAUGUAUGCUUAUGAAUAGCAAAGCAAAUAGACAUAUAAAACGCAAGUAAAUCAUUAAUUGAUUAAUAUUAUUAUUGAUGGGAUCUGAAGAGACUUACAUAUUCCUUCUUUAUUCCAAGCUCUCAAAAGUUUUCUUUCAUCGCAAAGCAAACACUCAGAUGGCCACUUUAUGGAUAAUUAUUCCCUCUUUGCUUCACACUCUAGAGACGAAGAAGGGCUCACUCUUGGAUUUUAAUGGAUCAAAGAAAAUGGUAAACCAGGCAAGAGAAGUGUGCUUCAUGUUUUCUGCCUUUUUAAAAAAAAAAAACUGAUGGCUGUGGUUUU
rnacentral:lncRNA from 1 species